GACGAACGCUGGCGGCGUGCUUAACACAUGCAAGUCGAACGGAAAGGCCCUGCUUUUGUGGGGUGCUCGAGUGGCGAACGGGUGAGUAACACGUGAGUAACCUGCCCUUGACUUUGGGAUAACUUCAGGAAACUGGGGCUAAUACCGGAUAGGAGCUCCUGCUGCAUGGUGGGGGUUGGAAAGUUUCGGCGGUUGGGGAUGGACUCGCGGCUUAUCAGCUUGUUGGUGGGGUAGUGGCUUACCAAGGCUUUGACGGGUAGCCGGCCUGAGAGGGUGACCGGCAACAUUGGGACUGAGAUACGGCCCAGACUCCUACGGGAGGCAGCAGUGGGGAAUAUUGCACAAUGGGCGGAAGCCUGAUGCAGCAACGCAGCGUGCGGGAUGACGGCCUUCGGGUUGUAAACCGCUUUCGCCUGUGACGAAGCGUGAGUGACGGUAAUGGGUAAAGAAGCACCGGCUAACUACGUG
rnacentral:rRNA from 1 species